rnacentral:Y_RNA from 1 species
GGCUGGUCCGAAGGUAGUGGGGUAUCUCAAUUGAUUGUUCACAGUCAGUUACAGAUUGAUCUCCUCGUUCUCUCUUUCCCCCCUUCCCUGGUGGUCUACUGGUUAGGA